GGGAGAAGAGGCAUGAUGGGAAGAAGAAGCCUGUCCUUUGUCGGGAGAAGCCACAUUUUAACAUGGAGGCUGCUGUUCCAUGUGGUGACCAUUUUAAGGCAAAGGAAAUCAAACAAGAAGUAUAUGACAGUUUUUUCCAUUGAGCUCUGCAGUUUUACAUAAGGUGUGUGGCUGGUGGUGACAUUCACUGUUCAGUUAAGUGCCAAAGAAGUUGCAAAAUGUCAGAAGAUCGUAACAAAACUUGAAGAAGAGUGGAAAUUCCUAGAGAGACAUUGUGGAGUAUAAAGCCAAUCAAUGGUGAAGGCCCAUAGCUCGUGAGGGAGGGAGCCAGGAGAAUGAAGACCCUGAUUUUUCUUCCUUUGUACCCUGCACCCAACUAGAAGCCAGAGAGCAAUGGAGCCUGUGGACGAGUCCCCCAGAGUCAUCCUCCUGAGGACAGAGCAGAGAAGAGAGAGGCAGAGCGGAUCUACAGGGCCAAAGGAGGGCAUCCAGAGCAAUCAUACCAUGUUCCAGCAUUUGGAAGUCAUAAAUCAGUCAGCGGGCACUCAGCACCUCUCUGAGUGUGGUGACACUGUGCACGGAGAACUAAGGGACUGGGUAUUUGUGGAAGACUCUGUGCCACGCCAUCCAGGCCUCAGCCAAAGCUCUGCUGCCCCAGCUGGUGGGUAGACCAUCUGCAGAC
rnacentral:lncRNA from 1 species